rnacentral:rRNA from 1 species
UGGGGAAUUUUCCGCAAUGGGCGAAAGCCUGACGGAGCAAUGCCGCGUGGAGGUGGAAGGCCUACUGGUCGUCAACUUCUUUUCUCGGAGAAGAAACAAUGACGGUAUCUGAGGAAUAAGCAUCGGCUAACUCUGUGCCAG